rnacentral:rRNA from 1 species
CGCGUAGGUGGUUCAGUAAGAUGGAAGUGAAAUCCCCGGGCUUAACCUGGGAACUGCUUUCAUAACUGCUGGGCUAGAGUACGGUAGAGGGUAGUGGAAUUUCCUGUGUAGCGGUGAAAUGCGUAGAUAUAGGAAGGAACACCAGUGGCGAAGGCGACUACCUGGACUGAUACUGACACUGAGGUGCGAAAGCGUGGGGAGCAAACA